GACGAACGCUGGCGGCGUGCUUAACACAUGCAAGUCGAACGCACCUUCGGGUGAGUGGCGGACGGGUGAGUAACGCGUAGGUAAUCUACUCUUCAGUGGGGGAUACCCAGCCGAAAGGUUGGUUAAUACCGCAUACGCUCCUGUGCAGAGAGGUACAGGAGGAAAGGUUUACUGCUGAGGAAUGAGCCUGCGUCCGAUUAGCUAGUUGGUGGGGUAAAGGCUCACCAAGGCGACGAUCGGUAGCUGGUCUGAGAGGACGAUCAGCCACACUGGAACUGAGACACGGUCCAGACUCCUACGGGAGGCAGCAGUGGGGAAUUUCCGCAAUGGGCGAAAGCCUGACGGAGCAACGCCGGGUGGGUGAUGAAGUUUUUCGGAACGUAAACCCUUUCGCCAGGGACGAAGCGAGUGACGGUACCUGGAGAAGAAGCAUCGGCUAACUACGUGCCAGCAGCCGCGGUAA
rnacentral:rRNA from 1 species